rnacentral:lncRNA from 1 species
GAAACAUCAAGCAGCGUCAAAUCUGACCAUAUCAGACUACUGACUGCAACCUGUCACAUAGCCGCACCAGAUAAUUGGGAACAACCAUAUUUAACACAGUCCUUCAGUGAAAAGAUUCUUGUCGGUCUUCUUGGGGGGAAGAUUGUUAUCUACAAAGCAAGCAUUCUGUCUGAAUAUAAGAAAAAGAAGAAGGUCCUGCCUGUCCUACUGAAGUACCAAAGGUCCAGUUUGUGA